AGUGAACGCUGGCGGUAGGCCUAACACAUGCAAGUCGAACGGCAGCACAGGAGAGCUUGCUCUCUGGGUGGCGAGUGGCGGACGGGUGAGGAAUACAUCGGAAUCUACUUUUUCGUGGGGGAUAACGUAGGGAAACUUACGCUAAUACCGCAUACGACCUACGGGUGAAAGCAGGGGACCUUCGGGCCUUGCGCGAUUGAAUGAGCCGAGGUCGGAGUAGCUAGUUGGCGGGGUAAAGGCCCACCAAGGCGACGAUCCGUAGCUGGUCUGAGAGGAUGAUCAGCCACACUGGAACUGAGACACGGUCCAGACUCCUACGGGAGGCAGCAGUGGGGAAUAUUGGACAAUGGGCGCAAGCCUGAUCCAGCCAUACCGCGUGGGUGAAGAAGGCCUUCGGGUUGUAAAGCCCUUUUGUUGGGAAAGAAAUCCAGCUGGCUAAUACCCGGUUGGGAUGACGGUACCCAAAGAAUAAGCACCGGCUAACUUCGUGCCAGCAGCCGCAGUAA
rnacentral:rRNA from 1 species